rnacentral:rRNA from 2 species
AGUGGCAAGCAUAAGGGACGAAGGCGGGGGUAAACACCGAAGUUAAGCGUGCUUGGGCGAGAGUAGUACUAGGAUGGGUGACCUCCUGGGAAGUCCUCGUGUUGCAUUCC